rnacentral:rRNA from 1 species
AUACAUGCAGUCGAGCGCAGGAGCCGUCUGAACCCUUCGGGGGGACGACGGUGGAAUGAGCGGCGGACGGGUGAGUAACACGUAAAGAACCUGCCCAUAGGUCUGGGAUAACCACGAGAAAUCGGGGCUAAUACCGGAUGUGUCAUCGGACCGCAUGGUCCGCUGAUGAAAGGCGCUUCGGCGUCGCCCAUGGAUGGCUUUGCGGGGCAUUAGCUAGUUGGUGGGGUAACGGCCCACCAAGGCGACGAUGCAUAGCCGACCUGAGAGGGUGAUCGGCCACACUGGGACUGAGACACGGCCCAGACUCCUACGGGAGGCAGCAGUAGGGAAUCUUCCACAAUGGACGAAAGUCUGAUGGAGCAACCCCCGCGUGAACGAUGAAGGCUUUCGGGUCGUAAAGUUCUGUUGUAAGGGAAGAACAAGUGCCGCAGACAAUGGCGGCACCUUG